rnacentral:rRNA from 1 species
GACGAACGCUGGCGGCGUGCUUAACACAUGCAAGUCGAACGGAAAGGCCCUGCUUUUGUGGGGUGCUCGAGUGGCGAACGGGUGAGUAACACGUGAGUAACCUGCCCUUGACUUUGGGAUAACUUCAGGAAACUGGGGCUAAUACCGGAUAGGAGCUCCUGCUGCAUGGUGGGGGUUGGAAAGUUUCGGCGGUUGGGGAUGGACUCGCGGCUUAUCAGCUUGUUGGUGGGGUAGUGGCUUACCAAGGCUUUGACGGGUAGCCGGCCUGAGAGGGUGACCGGCCACAUUGGGACUGAGAUACGGCCCAGACUCCUACGGGAGGCAGCAGUGGGGAAUAUUGCACAAUGGGCGGAAGCCUGAUGCAGCAACGCCGCGUGCGGGAUGACGGCCUUCGGGUUGUAAACCGCUUUCGCCUGUGACGAAGCGUGAGUGACGGUAAUGGGUAAAGAAGCACCGGCUAACUACGUGCCAGCAGCCGCGGUGAUACGUAGGGUGCGAGCGUUGUCCGGAUUUAUUGGGCGUAAAGGGCUCGUAGGUGGUUGAUCGCGUCGGAAGUGUAAUCUUGGGGCUUAACCCUGAGCGUGCUUUCGAUACGGGUUGACUUGAGGAAGGUAGGGGAGAAUGGAAUUCCUGGUGGAGCGGUGGAAUGCGCAGAUAUCAGGAGGAACACCAGUGGCGAAGGCGGUUCUCUGGGCCUUUCCUGACGCUGAGGAGCGAAAGCGUGGGGAGCGAACAGGCUUAGAUACCCUGGUAGUCCACGCUGUAAACGGUGGGUACUAGGUGUGGGGUCCAUUCCACGGGUUCCGUGCCGUAGCUAACGCUUUAAGUACCCCGCCUGGGGAGUACGGCCGCAAGGCUAAAACUCAAAGGAAUUGACGGGGCCCCGCACAAGCGGCGGAGCAUGCGGAUUAAUUCGAUGCAACGCGUAGAACCUUACCUGGGUUUGACAUGGAUCGGGAGCGCUCAGAGAUGGGUGUGCCUCUUUUGGGGUCGGUUCACAGGUGGUGCAUGGCUGUCGUCAGCUCGUGUCGUGAGAUGUUGGGUUAAGUCCCGCAACGAGCGCAACCCUUGUUCACUGUUGCCAGCACGUUAUGGUGGGGACUCAGUGGAGACCGCCGGGGUCAACUCGGAGGAAGGUGGGGAUGACGUCAAGUCAUCAUGCCCCUUAUGUCCAGGGCUUCACGCAUGCUACAAUGGCUGGUACAGAGAGUGGCGAGCCUGUGAGGGUGAGCGAAUCUCGGAAAGCCGGUCUCAGUUCGGAUUGGGGUCUGCAACUCGACCUCAUGAAGUCGGAGUCGCUAGUAAUCGCAGAUCAGCAACGCUGCGGUGAAUACGUCCCCGGG